CCUGAUGCAGCGACGCCGCGUGAGGGAUGACGGCCUUCGGGUUGUAAACCUCUUUCAGUAGGGAAGAAGCGAGAGUGACGGUACCUGCAGAAGAAGCGCCGGCUAACUACGUGCCAGCAGCCGCGGUAAUACGUAGGGCGCAAGCGUUGUCCGGAAUUAUUGGGCGUAAAGAGCUCGUAGGCGGUUUGUCGCGUCUGCUGUGAAAGCCCGGGGCUCAACCCCGGGUCUGCAGUGGGUACGGGCAGACUAGAGUGCAGUAGGGGAGACUGGAAUUCCUGGUGUAGCGGUGAAAUGCGCAGAUAUCAGGAGGAACACCGAUGGCGAAGGCAGGUCUCUGGGCUGUUACUGACGCUGAGGAGCGAAAGCAUGGGGAGCGAACAGGAUUAGAUACCCUGGUAGUCCAUGCCGUAAACGUUGGGCACUAGGUGUGGGGGACAUUCCACGUUUUCCGCGCCGUAGCUAACGCAUUAAGUGCCCCGCCUGGGGAGUACGGCCGCAAGGCUAAAACUCAAAGGAAUUGACGGGGGCCCGCACAAGCGGCGGAGCAUGCGGAUUAAUUCGAUGCAACGCGAAGAACCUUACCAAGGCUUGACAU
rnacentral:rRNA from 1 species